rnacentral:tRNA from 1 species
GGACGUUUAUCUCAGAUGGCAUAGAGGACGGUUCAUAACCGUUUAGUCACAGGUUCGAAUCCUGUAGCGUCCA